UGAGGUGGGUGGGUGGCCCCAUCCCUCCAUAGGGGACCAUGAGAAUCCACUGGACAUGGUCUCUACAGGUUCUAUCUCCCCUGUGUUGGAUAUUUCGACUAAUGUUCUCUCUAUUGGGUCCUGGGAAACUCUUGGAUUCCUGGUAUCUGGGACUUUCUAGUGACUACCUUCAGUUCCCCCUCUCUCCACUACUAAACACCAUCUUUCAAAUUCCUGACCUUCUGUACUUCUCCCCAAUCUCUUCCAGUAUCUAAACCAGUCCCCAUUUUCCUUACCCCUCCUCUCUCCCUACCAGAUUUCUUUCUCCGUCUACCUCCAGAGAUUAUUUUCUUCCCCCUUCUGAUUGAGACUAUUUAUUUUUCACUUUUAUCAAUAUGAGACAUUCAGAGAAAUUUUACAAAGGGCAAGGUCAAUGUAACUAAGAUGUGAUUCAAUGCUAUAAUUUGACUGCUGCCCUGUCCUGUGGAAGCAGCAUGUGAAUAAUUUUAUUAUCAUUUAUUAUUUAAUGUCACACCUUAUGAAAAAUUAAAAAUAGGUUAAUGUAAU
rnacentral:lncRNA from 1 species